rnacentral:rRNA from 1 species
UACGUAGGGUGCGAGCGUUGUCCGGAAUUACUGGGGGUAAAGAGCUCGUAGGUGGUUUGUCGCGUUGUCCGUGAAAACUCACAGCUUAACUGUGGGCGUGCGGGCGAUACGGGCAGACUGGAGUACUGCAGGGGAGACUGGGAUUCCUGGUGUAGCGGUGGAAUGCGCAGAUAUCAGGAGGAACACCGGUGGCGAAGGCGGGUCUCUGGGCAGUAACUGACGCUGAGGAGCGAAAGCGUGGGGAGCGAACAGG